GCCUUCGUGGAGUAGCCGUUAGCACACUCGACACGUAUUCGAGAGGUCCGUGGUUCGAGUCCCGGCGAAGGCA
rnacentral:tRNA from 1 species